AGGACGAACGCUGGCGGCGUGCUUAACACAUGCAAGUCGAGCGGUAAGGCCACUUCGGUGGUACACGAGCGGCGGACGGCUGAGUAACACGUAGGAACGUACCCCAAAGUGAGGCAUAAGCACCAGAAAUGGUGUCUAAUACCGCAUGUGGCCUAACAGGCUAAAGCUCCGGCGCUUUGGGAACGGCCUGCGCAUGAUUAGCUUGUUGGUGAGGUAAAAGCUCACCAAGGCAGUGAUCAUUAGCUGGUCUGAGAGGAUGACCAGCCAGACUGGGACUGAGAACGGCCCAGACUCCUACGGGAGGCAGCAGUAGGGAAUUUUCCACAAUGGGCGAAAGCCUGAUGGAGCAACGCCGCGUGCAGGAUGAAGGCUCUAGGGUCGUAAACUGCUUUUAUCUGUGACGAAUAUGACGGUAGCAGAUGAAUAAGGAUCGGCUAACUCCGUGCCAGCAGCCGC
rnacentral:rRNA from 1 species